CGGAUCCUCCCUUGGCUCUCUGCUGUGGCCUAUGGCUUUUUAUUCCUAUGUGAUUGCUGCUUUGAACUCAUGUAGGGCUGAAAGCCAUGGGCUACAGAGAGGGGAGAGACACCG